AGCUCCCAGUUCAACUACAUUGGCAUUGUUUGGCAGUGUGCUUUUAGUUAUGGUCCCAGCCCUACAUUAUCUUAAGACGGCCAAAGGUCUCUUCCUCAACAUGGUCCGAAGGAUCACUUUUUGAACAAUUUCAGAUUAUAUGGCUCCAUCUAUACACAUUUCUACAUGGUUUCUAUCCCAAGAUUCAUCUAUUGAUGUUCCAAAGCGUACACUUCGCAGGAGGGAUGGCUCAAGGAUCUUAUAAUCCGCCCAUGUGGUCCAGCUGGCACUAGGGGUG
rnacentral:lncRNA from 1 species